rnacentral:rRNA from 1 species
UACAGAGGGUGCAAGCGUUAAUCGGAAUUACUGGGCGUAAAGCGUGCGUAGACGGUUACAUAAGUCGGGUGUGAAAGCCCCGGGCUCAACCUGGGAAUUGCAUUCGAGACUGCGUAGCUAGGGUGCGGAAGAGGGAAGCGGAAUUUCCGGUGUAGCGGUGAAAUGCGUAGAUAUCGGAAGAACACCAGUGGCGAAGGCGACUUACUGGACACAUAUUGACGCUGAGGUGCGAAAGCGUGGGGAGCAAACAGG